AGAGUUUGAUCCUGGCUCAGGACGAACGCUGGCGGCGUGCUUAACACAUGCAAGUGGAGCGACGAACCAGGCUUCGGCCUGGGGCAGAGCCGCGAACGGGUGAGUAACACGUGGGUAACCUGCCCCGAUGACUGGGACAACCCGAGGAAACUCGGGCUAAUACCGGAUGUGCUGCUCUCGCUCAAGUGAGAGUAGGAAAGGAAGCUUCGGCCUCCGCAUCGGGAUGGGCCCGCGGCCCAUUAGCUUGUUGGUGAGGUAACGGCUCACCAAGGCUUCGAUGGGUAGCUGGUCUGAGAGGACGAUCAGCCACACUGGGACUGAGACACGGCCCAGACUCCUACGGGAGGCAGCAGUGGGGAAUCUUGCGCAAUGCGCGAAAGCGUGACGCAGCAACGCCGCGUGGGGGAAGACGGCCUUCGGGUUGUAAACCCCUUUCAGGAGGGACGAAGCCCGAGCGGUGAAUAGCCGACUCGGGUGACGGUACCUCCAGAAGAAGCCCCGGCUAACUACGUGCCAGCAGCCGCGGUA
rnacentral:rRNA from 1 species